UCUCUUCUUGUCUCCCUCUCCUCCUCGCAAGCUCCACAACGCCGAAGGCAAAGAGCUUCACACUUGAAAUCUCCGCUCGUUUUAAUCGGAUAUGGCGGAGAAGCCGGCGCCGGAGCAGGAGCAGGAGCAGACGAGAGCGAUGGAACCGGCGGUUCUAGACGAUAUAAUCCGGCGAUUGGUUGAGUUUCGGAACACGAGGCCUGGAUCGGGUAAACAAGUUCACCUCAGCGAAGGUGAAAUCCGACAGCUAUGUGCUGUCUCUAAAGACAUCUUUCUUCAACAACCCAUUCUCCUCGAACUCGAAGCUCCCAUCAAGAUCUGCGGUGAUAUUCAUGGGCAGUACUCAGACCUAUUGAGGCUCUUUGAGUACGGAGGCUUCCCUCCCGACGCCAAUUAUCUCUUCUUAGGUGACUACGUCGACCGCGGCAAGCAAAGCCUCGAAACCAUAUGCCUUCUCCUAGCUUACAAAAUCAAGUACCCUGAGAACUUCUUCUUGCUGAGAGGGAACCAUGAAUGCGCCUCCAUCAACCGCAUCUACGGCUUCUACGACGAGUGCAAACGCAGGUUCAACGUCAGGCUCUGGAAAAUAUUCACGGAUUGCUUCAACUGUCUUCCCGUGGCCGCCUUGAUCGACGAUAGAAUACUGUGCAUGCACGGUGGGAUCUCCCCGGAGCUGAUGAGCUUGGACCAGAUCAGGAGCAUUUCGCGUCCCUUGGAUAUUCCUGACUCGGGUUUGGUGUGUGAUUUACUUUGGUCGGAUCCUAGUGGAGACGUCAAGGGCUGGGGAGCGAACGACCGUGGCGUUUCGUAUACUUUUGGAGCUGACACGGUUGCGGAGUUUUUGCAGAAGAAUGAUAUGGACCUUAUCUGUCGUGCCCACCAGGUUGUUGAAGAUGGGUAUGAGUUCUUUGCGGAAAGACAGGUUGUGACUGUGUUUUCAGCUCCAAACUAUUGCGGAGAGUUUGAUAAUGCUGGCGCAAUGAUGAGUAUUGAUGAGAGCUUAAUGUGCUCCUUCCAGAUUCUAAAGCCUUCGGAGAAGAAAUGACAACAAUUAUCCGGUCACCACCAACACUCCAAAAGUUACUGCAGCUGCACUCUGGUGACAGAAGCUAGAGCCAGAAUUUAAUGGCGAAGAUAGGUACAUUGCGUAGCAAACACGUCUCGAAACAGAGUAACAACUCAGGCAAUUGACUUGCAGCGCACCAAAGCUAUUGACAACAUGUUUGUUUAUGUUACUUGAGGAUCUUUGGCACGAACAAGGUUACAGAAAACCUGACAACAAUCAGGUUUCAAGAGAAAGAAAAGACUUUCAGGAAUGAGAAGAAAAAGCUACUCAUCCCCUAUAAACUACUAACCCUUUUGUCAUAAAACCGAGUUAAUUUGCUGCAUACCAUCACUCAUUCCAAGAACAACCAAAAAGAACUGAAAAAAGGGGAAGUUAAAGCUGCCGUCUUCGAUGGGAGUUGUCAAGUAGUAAAAGGAUUAGUGUCCAGUGACGUGUCCUUUCCUUCUGAGAUCAAUCACAACGACACUCACGUUGUCACUACUGUGUCUCGCCAACGCCAGCUUCGUCAGCAAUACUGACGCCUCCAUGCACGCUUUGUCCGAGAUCGUCUCCACCGCUUGUUCCGGAGUACCUCGCCGUCUCCGACCACCACUGAGACACAUACGCGCCACCGAGCAGGCUGUCUCGUUUGACACAACAUCCCAUAAACCGUCGCUGGCUAGAAUAAGGCAGUCGUCGUCCGUCCUGUCUGUUACCGUUACCUCCGGCUCACAAGUCACGUAAGGUUUCAAAUAGUUGUCUCCUAUGGCGCGUGACAUCGCUAAGACUCCUAGAACUCUCGGACAGUCCCAGUAUAUGACUCGUCCUCCUGCUCCUUCGAUUCGGUCCAACUCGUCAGGACGGUCAGGCUGUGUUUCAUACAAACUUUUGAGUCAAAUCUAGAAUUAUGAUUAUUACCACAACACACGAAAGUACAAAACAGAGCUUUCCAAGUGAUCUAUGUUAUUUGUUCAAAAAAAAAAGUGAUCUAUGUUCAGUGUGCAUCUUGAGAUUUAUAAAUAUUUUAAAAUAAA